AUGAGCCAAAAGUUAUGACACUAGAACUGCUGAAAAAUAUGGACCCAAAUGAUCCUCAAAAUGAGAAGUCACGUGGGCAGAUUGUUGUGGAACUGACAUACAAACCUUUCAAGGACAAUGAAAUACCAAAUGAUACUGAAGAUCCAAAGGCUGUAGAAAAGGCUCCUGAAGGAACACCUACUGGUGGUGGCUUGUUUGUGGUUAUCGUACAUGAAGCUCAAGACGUGGAAGGAAAGCAUCAUACAAAUCCUUAUGUGAGAUUACUUUUCAGAGGGGAGGAGAGAAAAACUAAGGUAAGCUUGAAGCAGAACCCUUUUAAGAAUGAAGUUUACCUUAACAGAGUUGCAAUUUUUUAACAUUUGCUAGUGCAGGCAGACUCAGGUUCUACAUGAGUAGCUUCUUUUAGGAAAUAAGUUGCUGAAACCUCAAAGUAUUUUAAUACAUACGAUGAUGAUUUAACUUUUUUAAAGUUCGGAUGAUUAAAAAAACUGCUACAUAUUGUCAGCCCAUUAAUUCUUGUAUUCCACAUCGAUACAGCUUGUGAAGAAAAACAGAGAUCCAAGAUGGGAGGAGGAUUUUCAGUUCAUGCUAGAGGAGCCACCCACAAAUGAUAAACUUCAUGUGGAAGUUUGUAGUGCCUCCACAAGGAUGGGUCUUCUCCAUCCCAAGGUACGCAAGCCAUUGCCUUUUCUAUCAGAUUUUGCCUCGGUAUAAUCAUAAGAUUGUAGUAGAUCCAGCAAUUGAACCUACUUUGAAGUUAAAACUGGUUUCUAUUAACAAAAAUUUUUGAAAUAAUAUUUUUUAUUUUUUCAACUCAACGGGUUGAGUUCUUCUACUUGUGACUUGGAGCUCAUGGGUUCGAACCAUAGAAAAUCAGUGGAAAAAUUGCUUAUAUCUUCCAGAACCCUACAAACUUGGGAACUGGGUCGUCUUUAUUCAGCUUUCAAAGUUUUCUUAUACUUUUUUAUUUUUUCCUCCUUGAAUGAUAAUUUCCGACAGGAAACUUUGGGUUAUGUGGAUAUAAACCUAGCUGAUGUGGUUAACAACAAGAGAAUCAACGAGAAGUAUCAUCUUAUCGACUCGAGGAAUGGUCGGGUUCAAAUAGAAUUACAGUGGAGAACUUCUUAAAAAAAAUGUUGCACUUGGGUAAGUAUUUUACAGUGGAGAACUUCGUAAAAAAAAAAAAUGCUGCGAUUGGGUAAGUAUUUCCAGUGGAAAACAUUCAGUUGUGCCUGGCUUCUUUUGAUGGUGAAUUAAUGCAGAGUACCAUACUCUGUUUUCUGAACCGACUCUGUAAUUCACUGUAAGAAUCAUGUAAAAAUGUAAUUUUUCUGACACCUGUUCCGAGGGUCAGGGAAAUCCGGCAUUGUUUUGUCAUAUAAAGGAAAUAAAUGACUUUUUUCUUUUUGGUGUAGAAUUCUCUCUUCGGACCAGAGGGAAAAGUUCCCCGUCUUUUUCAUUUGUGUCCGCAAGUGAGGGGAAUUAUUUCUGUCAUUGAACUUCGACAAUAAAAUUUCCUUUAAAAAAAUGUUCUAUUUAACUUUUCCUUUUGGUUGAGUAAUUAAAAAAUAGUAGAGAAUUUUAAUGGAAAAACUCUGCAACUGAACUCUACAAAAUAGAAGAUUUUCAUUAAUAAAUUAUACCUAAUUAUAGACUAAGUUGUAAGUAGUAAUAAGCUCGUUUGAAAAAUAUAAAAUUUCCAACAUUAUGAACUAUUACUAAAAAGAAUUGGUAACUCUAAUCAUAUUCUUGUUUUAUUUUAUUCAAAAUACUCUGUUAUAUAUAUAUAUAUAUAUAUAUAUAUAUAUAUGUGGGACAAUGAAAUACCAAAUGAUACUGAAGAUCCAAAGGCUGUAGAAAAGGCUCCUGAAGGAACACCUACUGGUGGUGGCUUGUUUGUGGUUAUCGUACAUGAAGCUCAAGACGUGGAAGGAAAGCAUCAUACAAAUCCUUAUGUGAGAUUACUUUUCAGAGGGGAGGAGAGAAAAACUAAGGUAAGCUUGAAGCAGAACCCUUUUAAGAAUGAAGUUUACCUUAACAGAGUUGCAAUUUUUUAACAUUUGCUAGUGCAGGCAGACUCAGGUUCUACAUGAGUAGCUUCUUUUAGGAAAUAAGUUGCUGAAACCUCAAAGUAUUUUAAUACAUACGAUGAUGAUUUAACUUUUUUAAAGUUCGGAUGAUUAAAAAAACUGCUACAUAUUGUCAGCCCAUUAAUUCUUGUAUUCCACAUCGAUACAGCUUGU
rnacentral:lncRNA from 1 species